rnacentral:rRNA from 1 species
UACGUAGGAGGCAAGCGUUGUCCGGAAUUACUGGGCGUAAAGCGCACGUAGGCGGAUUUGUAAGUCAGGGGUGAAAUCCCGGGGCUCAACCCCGGAACUGCCUUUGAUACUGCGAAUCUCGAGUCCGGAAGAGGUGAGUGGAAUUCCUAGUGUAGAGGUGAAAUUCGUAGAUAUUAGGAAGAACACCAGUGGCGAAGGCGGCUCACUGGUCCGGUACUGACGCUGAGGUGCGAAAGCGUGGGGAGCAAACAGG